GAGCACGUCCCAUUUGUUACUGUAUGUUUGAAACGUCACAGCUGUUCUGGUAGCUAAUCAUAUGUCACGUUACUUGAACCGCAGUUACUAUCAUCAUAGGAGGAACUAGUUAGCUUUACAUGCCACACUGAAUAAUCGGUAAACAUUCAGUUGAAAUCGGAAUAUUUAACUUCACAGAUAGGAGCGAUAAAGUAAUUAAGGUAAACAUAACCAUGGAGGAACCAGGUGCUGAUAUAGAGGUGACUGUCAAAACUUUGGACUCCCAGAGCCGAAGUUACACUAUAGGCGGACAGUUGACAGUGAAAGAGUUCAAGGAGCACAUUGCCACUUCAGUGGACAAACAGGCUGAUCUACCAGGGCCGAGUUCUGCAGGAUGAGAGGACCCUGACAGAGUACAUAUCUUGGCAAAUGGUACAUCAUUGCAGCGGCUGGUGUGAAGGAGUCGGAUGUGCAAGCUGUUCAGACAGAUGGACAGCACUGUGUUUCACCUGAAUCAGACCUCUGAAAAGGCACUACUGUUGACCGGAGCCAUGCGCGUUUAAGAGACCAGCUAAAACGCCAUGCGCGUUUUAGCUGACACACAAUCAUACUGGCAGAGAAGCCCACUUGGGGAAUGUCCCAAUAAUCUCUCCUUCCUGAAGUGUGCACUUGUUCACUACUCCCCAGGAAUAUAAAAGCAUUGGAUUUGGAUAUGCAUGGGCUAAAGGGAGUUUCUUUUAACAGUAAUGAGAAACGGAAGAAGAGAGCGAUUAUUUGGAACACGUCCUUGGUCUGUUUCUGACCCAGAUUUGACCCAGUUGUACACAGUUCAACAGGCUUAAUUACACCGUAUAUGGCGUUGCAAUGCUUGUGGACUAUUCUACCCUGACUAACAUUUUCAAAGCGUCAGUGUUGUUUACAAAAUUACAGUAGACGCUGUCUGUGUGAUAAUGCACAUAUCUUUCCAUUUUAGGGGUGGUCAUUGCGUUAUGAAAAACUGGACCUAUACUAUUCAGUCUGGAAAAGAUUAUUUGACAUCACAAGGCAGGCCUGAGCUGCAAACUCUAGUGUGGAGUGGAGAGUGGCUGAACUGCAACCAGUGUAUCCUGCUGCAGGAGAUGGAGCGUCACUUGGAUCCACUAGAGACACACAACACCCUCAACAGAUUCAUGCUUUACGAGCUUUGUCAUUUAAACAAGGCGUAGCACUGAGGCUGCCUGCUAUGUGUUGGAGUCUUCCAUCAAGAUCAUGCUAUGCAUCGAAAUAGGUUUCCUUUUGAGAGUUUAUUAUUAGCGUAUUGCCCACUCUAACUUUGAUCUAACUCAGAAACGUGGAACUAAUUCAAAUGAAGAACUCUCCUCUCAUUUCCCAUGUGUAAUAGUAAAAACAAAGUGGAACUAAUUCAAAUGAAGAACUCUCCUCUCAUUUCCCAUGUGUAAUAGUAAAAACAAAGUGGAACUAAUUCAAAUGAAGAACUCUCCUCUCAUUUCCCAUGUGUAAUAGUAAAAACAAAGUGGAACUAAUUCAAAUGAAGAACUCUCCUCUCAUUUCCCAUGUGUAAUAGUAAAAACAAAUAAACAGAAAAAAAGAACAGCUUCUCCAAGUCUAUUCCAAAGUCUCAGAAUGUUUAGAAUGGCACUAAUGACCGAGGCGUAGACGUCUCAGCAUUUUCCAUUGCUCAUUUAAACUUGCAGUGACAUGGCACACAGUUAUCAAGUUUUCGAAGAAGGGCCUAUUUCCAGGCAAAUAUUUCAAUUUCACGCAUUUCUCUUUUUGUGAGGGAUGACUUAACUGUCAUGGUUCACUGAACUGCAUUGUUCCACUCUUUUUGCCUACCUCCAUCAGUGGAGGCUGCUGAGGGGAGGACUGCUCAUAAUAAUGUCUGGAAUGGAGUCAAUGGAAUGGCAUGAAACACCUUUGACUCCAUUCCAGCCAUUAUUAUGAGCAGUCCUCCCCUCAGCAGCCUCCGUUGACCUCUAUCUAAAUACCAUUCAUCAAUUUAGAAAAGAAUCCAGGGCUAGUUUACCGGGGGAGUAGCCUCCCACGCAGUUACACUUACAGUGCAGGGGAAAUUCCCAUGAUGCUGCAGACGGAGCAGAGGCUCAGAGCACACUGUCGUUCACAACUAGAGUGGUCAUCCACAGUUCUCUUCUUCAUUUGCUCUAAUGUAAUAAUACACAGGGUGACUGAAAGCAGAAACGGUGAAAUUUGCUUUCACUUGUCCUUUUAUUUCUUGUAAGGUUAUUUCUUUGACCUGCAGUUCGAAAUCAAGAAAAUAUGGGUAUAUGAAGGGGUAGACUAGGGAUUUGGGGUGCAUUGGAUACAUUGUACAUGUCAUUUCUAUGGCUUAAAUACAAUAACAUUUGAGGCCAGACUCCCAUGUCUGGUCCUAUAAAAACACCUACAGUAUACACUACAUAGCUAACAAUGUCACCAUUCAAGUACCUCUGUGUUUCAACUAUGCCCGGGGCUAAUAUGAAUGUCAGAAAAUAUCCUGAAACCAUGAUGAAAUCCUUGUCUCGCUCCCUCCCCCUCUCCACUUAUCUCUCUGAUUUACGCACUUUCAAAGACUUGUGACGCACCAACAUGAAGACACUUGACUUCCCAGAUGCACUUUGGCAUGAAACAACUUGUUGACCGACAGAAAGUACAGAGUACAGUGUAAGAAUUUACUUCCUGUCUCUGUCAGAAUGACUUUAGAUCCUUACCUUUCUCUCACCUGUACGAUGUCCAUAAUAGGACAGCCUCAAUCUCAGCAGGACAUCUUUCAGUCUCAGUAGGACUUGUUUCAAUAAGUUAAUAUAGUCACAGUACGGCAGAGAUUCUAUUCCCAGUGUGUUCCUCUUCAUUUCAGUAUAGUUUCUCAAAUAUCAAUGCCAUUUACAGUAUAUGAAAACAUAUCUUGUUAAGCCCAAGAAUAGGAAGUCAAACUCCCCUGCAUAAUAUUUCAUUACUGUCAAACGAUGGUUCUUCCAGCCCACCUCUAACACAGCUGAUUGUUGUUGAGCAGUUCGCUAGUUAUAUUGAUGAGCAGUUCACUAGUGAAACACUAAUCAGAUGGUAGUGCUGGGCAGAAACACCCUUUAGUUCUCCCUGACCAGGAAUGGUGACCGCUGGUGUAUAUACCAAUAUUGAGCCGAACACAUCUACGAAGCUGUACAGAUUGACAUCAAAUGAUCUAAAACUGGACAGAAACUGAUCAAUGAUAUGAAACUGGACAGAAACUGAUCAAUGAUCUAAAACAGAACAGAAACAGAAUAGAAACUGAACAGAACAUGAUUAGAUUGAUGCCAGAAGGUUUCUGCUUUCAACAACAGUAGUGCCUGAACUUCUGCAUUUCAGGAAGAUGGGGAAAAGACUUAAAGGCUAACAUGAUUGAAGGCCUUGUCUGAGAACUUUGCCUGCAUUGGGUCAAGGCAGGUACGGGUCGAUAAUCCAGAGUGGGAGCCAAGGUACAGGACGGCAGGCAGACGGGCUCAGAGUCAGGACAGGCAAUGGUCAAAACCUGGAGGGUGAGAAAAGAGACUGGGGAAAAGCAGGAUCUGAGAAACAAAACGCUGGUUCACUUGACAAACAAGACGACCUGGCAACAGACAAACAGAGAACACAGGUAUAAGUACCCAGGGGAUAAUGGGGAAGAUGGGCGACACCUGGAGGGGGUGGAGACCAGCACAAGGACCGAUGAAACAGAUCAGGGCAUGACACUGGCUAUUUCCAUGCCCUAUGUAUGUAAAGUCAGAUUGAGUCACUGUGGCUGCCAGCUGGUUUAUGAAACCAUGAAGAAAACUCCCUGUCAUGUUUUUGUACCUGUGGAACCCACUGACACUGACCUAUAAAUAUGUGUGGGAAAUCACAUGCCACCCACAUCUGUCAAUGUUGUGCCUGACUCAUCUGUAGCCUUACUAGCCUAUAGUUCCUCGCCACAGGGAUGAUAGUGGUUCUGUCACCUUCUCUUUGUCUGUACUGUCAUACUUGAAUAAAAGUAAAGAUACCUUAAUAGAAAAUGACUCAAGUAAAAGUGAAAGAGAACUGAAUUUUAAAACGGAUUCUAAAUGCAUUUGACAUGUUGAAUAUGUGAAGCUAUGGUAAAUUUGAUAGUUUGCAAAUGUGAUACGCAGACAAUGUAUGCAAUAUCCACCACAUUGAAACAGAAUAUAUAAAUAUUGAAUUUGAAUUUUCAAUUAAGUUGUAAUAUAAUUUUAAAUCUGAAUGCAAUAUUCAUUCAAUUACUUUUUCAAAUCAUGAAAUACAAGUUAAAUUGAUUAAUUCUAUGAUUAAAUGUGUGCAUUACAAAUGUAAAAAUAUUGCAUUUGAAUUCAGUAUCUUAAUGUAAAUUUAAAAAAUGUUGAAUUCAAAUAUAGUUUCUGUUGUAUUGAAAUCGCUCUGUAAUUGCUCCAAUCGUUCCUUUUCUGUUCCGCAUCUGAAAUGUACUUUUGGGUGUCAGGAGAAAUGUAUGGGAGUAAAAAGUACAUAUUUUCUUUAGGAAUGUAGUGGAGUAAAAGUGUUAAAAACAUUUU